UGUACUGAGACACGGACCAGACUCCUACGGGAGGCAGCAGUGAGGAAUAUUGGUCAAUGGGCGCAAGCCUGAACCAGCCAUGCCGCGUGCAGGAAGAAUGCCCUAUGGGUUGUAAACUGCUUUUAUUCGGGAAUAAACCCUCUUACGUGUAGGAGGCUGAAGGUACUGAAUGAAUAAGCACCGGCUAACUCCGUGCCAGCAGCCGCGGUAAUACGGAGGGUGCAAGCGUUAUCCGGAAUCAUUGGGUUUAAAGGGUCCGCAGGCGGUCUUAUAAGUCAGUGGUGAAAUCUCGCAGCUCAACUGCGAAACUGCCAUUGAUACUGUAGGACUUGAAUGUGGUCGAAGUGGGCGGAAUAUGACAUGUAGCGGUGAAAUGCUUAGAUAUGUCAUAGAACACCGAUAGCGAAGGCAGCUCACUAGGCCACGAUUGACGCUCAUGGACGAAAGCGUGGGGAGCAACCAGGAUUAGAUACCCUGGUAGUCCACGCCGUAAACUAUCAAUACUCGUUUUCGGCGAUAUACAGUCGGAGACUAAGCGAAAGUGAUAAGUAUUGCACCUGGGGAGUACGAUCGCAAGGUUGAAACUCAAAGGAAUUGACGGGGGCCCGCACAAGCGGUGGAGCAAGUGGUUUAAUUCGAUGAUACGCGAGGAACCUUACCAGGGCUUAAAUGCAGAACGCAUGGUGUGGAAACAUGCCAGUCUUCGGACGGUCUGCAAGGUGCUGCAUGGCUGUCGUCAGCUCGUGCCGUGAGGUGUUGGGUUAAGUCCCGCAACGAGGGCAACCCCUAUCUUUAGUUGCCAGCGGGUUAUGCCGGGGACUCUAAAGAAACUGCCAGCGCAAGCUGAGAGGAAGGCGGGGACGACGUCAAGUCAUCACGGCCCUUACGUCCUGGGCCACACACGUGCUACAAUGGCAGGUACAGAGGGCAGCUACCCCGCGAGGGGAUGCGAAUCUCUAAAGCCUGUCUCAGUUCGGAUUGGAGUCUGCAACUCGACUCUAUGAAGCUGGAAUCGCUAGUAAUCGCGCAUCAGCCAUGGCGCGGUGAAUACGUUCCCGGGCCUUGUACACACCGCCCGUCAAACAAUGGAAGCUGGGGGUGCCUGAAGUCGGUAACCGUAAGGAGCUGCCUAGGGUAAAACUAGUAACUGGUGUUAAGUCGUAACAAGGUAGCCGUACCGGAAGGUGCGGCUG
rnacentral:rRNA from 1 species